UUAUACCAGCGGUUCUCAAACUUUCGUAUUUCGCGCCCCCCCUUUUCUACCUGGAAUAAUUCUGCGCCCCCUGCAUAAUAUAAGAUAGAUGAGAAUAACCCAUGAUACAACUAACAAAGGUAUGAUACUCGUACGGUGUCGCGGUAUCCUAUCAUUUUUACUUCCAUAAGAUUUGCAUGUGUUCGGCUAACUUCGAUUAAAUAUUUGCAAUUUAUUUUUUUUUAAAGUGCUUUAAUAACUGUUAAAAUGCCUUGUGUCGUUUUUGGUAGUACCGUAAUUCUAAUCCCAAAAACAAAGAAUAAAUUAUUUAUUCUUAUUUAAUUAUUUUUUUAUGUAAAGAAACGAUUAAAUAUGUUUUAAUUUUAAAAAAUCUCAUAAACAAGGACACCGAUGAAGUAAAUCUGCACGAGACGAACGUAUUUUUGUCCGACAAAUAUUAUACCACUGUUAGUUGUAUCAUGAAAAUAACCCAAUACGCAGUAAAUUAUUUAACUCAAUUUGGCAAUAUUGGCUACUCAUUAGAUCUAUGCCUUAGAAAUGUUUUAUUUUAAUUUUAGUUAUAAUGCAUUCAUUGUGAUUAUAUGCUUGCAAAUUUAAAUUUGAAAUAAAAAUGUGAAAAAUUAA